AGGGCUCUGAGAGCUGUUUGGAUGCCUCUAUUCCCCUCACAGAGCUCCAGUUUUCAAGAGUGGUUUUAAAACAGCCCAUCCCUCUUCUCAGGGAACUUAUGGGAAUUUUGUAAACAUCGUUUGGCUGGAGAACUGCACCACAGAAUUCAGAUAGAUUGCUUAAAACCAAAGUGCAGCAACUUGAAAGGAGCUGAAGGUAAUAAACAGAGGAAAUCGUCCUUUGAUGCUGCUGACGUUUAAUAGAGGAAGUUGGUGGUGGUCGGCUUUGCAUUUCUCUUGAAAACAGUCAGCCUGAAACCUGGUGGUAAAGGAAGAAAUAAAUUACAAGGACCUCUGUCAGAAACAUCUGAUGGGAACGAACCUGCGGAAGCACACGUCUUGAACCUGGUGCACCCCAAGAGAGUUCGGAGUGCUGUGGGGCAUCGGCAGAAUGGCUGGCGGAAGUACCGGCGCCCUCGU